CUCGGAAGUAUUUAUUAUUGUUGCCACGUUCCGGGUGAGGAAACUGAAACUCAGAGAGGUGAGGCUCCACCCCCGGAAGGUGACAGCCACUCGGGACCCGAAUGAUGAACUCGAGUGGGUUGAAAAGCUGGAAAAAGUCUGGACGAUUCCUGAUGGACUAAGAGCUGUUAGCAUAUCGGGCUCUGUCACUAAGUUCUAGAUGCGCGGUGUCGGGCUUGUAGUCUUCCAAUACACACGGCGGAGGGUGGGAGGGGCGGAGACAGACAGGCGGAUGGAGACAGACGAGUCUGAGGCUACUCUGCGUGAGACGCGGGGCAAGAGCGCCGGAGAAGAGAGUCAGAGCUUCAGGGACGGGGGUUGUGGGUUCAUGUAACUAAGAGCAGAGGAAGGAGAAACCCAAUGCUGGGGGCUUCGGCGAGGCCCCCCUUGAGCCCAGAGCUUGGGUUUCCAGAUACCUUCUGCGUGCACCUGGGGGGGCCCCCCGGGGCCGGGAAAGCUCCUGUGGGGGGCGUCUACACAGCCCGCAGAAUGUGAAGGGCCCUCGGCCCAGGGCCACCCGGCCAUGCCAACAGAAGUGGGUAGCUUGAAGAGUGUACAGGUGGAAUUUCAGGUUCUGCUGGCCUGGCUGGUGGUGAGAGGAAGCCAGGGCAUGAGGCGGUGUUAAGAUAUUUUUUGCUUUUGCUAUUUAACCCCUUUGGAGAAGGAGCGAGGGGUGGGGUAGAAAGGGAGAGUUUCAUGUGGUGGGUGGGACAGAAAGGGACAGAGAGUGGGGGGGACUAGAAAACAGGUGUCGUUUUCUUGCUAGGAAGCAAACAGGUGACAUCCUGAAGGAGGAGGUUACCGGAGUCCCUUUAUGUAUUUUUCAGGUCCACUUCUCAAAGUAUCUGGGGGCUGGGAGGGUGUGUUCCUGGUCACCAGGGAGCUUGAACACGGUGGCCCGUUUCCCUGGCAACUGGGGUGUAUGUGUGCAGAGGUGGCGGGGCCCUGGCUGUUCCACGUCUGCCCCCGAACACAGGGUCCCCACAGCGCUGAGGGGAUCCACAGACGCGACACGGGAAACACCAGUUGUGUGUGUGUGUGUGUGUGUGUGUGUGUGUGUGUCUGUUCAAGGCCAGGAGGGUCUCCAAACAGUCCUAAGUGAUGAAAACCGCUUGUAACUGCCCACACUGGAAGGCUGUGGAACGAACAGCCUCCUUGUACGAAUUCCCCCACCCCUGCCCUGACGGCCCCAUCCUGGGGAGACCAGAAAGGGGCCGGGUUCAGAGCCCGCAUCUCAUCACGGCAGCAGCAGCAGCAGCGUGGCGGAGGGAGGAGGCGGUCUUUGGCGGCAGUGCCCAAGACACUCGUACCAGUGUUUUAAGCGCUCUCCCUUGGCCGAGAUCCCCAGCUGGCAGCCUCCUGGAGGACGAGGGCAGGGGGGGACAGGCGGUCAGAGCGGGGGGACACGUGGGACUCUCAUUCAGGACCCAGAUGUCCGAU